rnacentral:tRNA from 1 species
AAGGAUAAUCGGAAAACGACAGUGACUUUGGUGUCAAGUUCGUAACGUUCAAAGUUUUGUUUAGUUUUGAGUGUGGUACUGUUAUAGGUAUCAUGGUCAAAGAUGAACCUAUGGGGAAUUAGCUCAGCUGGGAGAGCACCUGCUUUGCAAGCAGGGGGUCAGCGGUUCGAUCCCGCUAUUCUCCAUAGGCAACUGGCAGCAGUUGUCGUGGUUGUACAUUGAAAACUGAAUAGUAACAAAUUCUUUUAAUAAUUUUUAAUUAUAAAUUGAACCGAGAAACAACACAAAAAAGUUCUUUAAAAAGAACGGUUUAAUCGCAGGUCUGAAAAACGACCAACUCAUAAACUUGAACCACAACUUCGGUUGUAUA